UACGGGGGGGCAAGCGUUGUUCGGAAUUACUGGGCGUAAAGGGCUCGUAGGCGGCCAACUAAGUCGGAUGUGAAAUCCCCAGGCUUAACCUGGGAACUGCAUCCGAUACUGGAUGGCUUGAAUCCGGGAGAGGGAUGCAGAAUUCCAGGUGUAGCGGUGAAAUGCGUAGAUAUCUGGAGGAAUACCGGUGGCGAAGGCGGCAUCCUGGACCGGCAUUGACGCUGAUGAGCGAAAAGCUAGGGGAGCAAACAGG
rnacentral:rRNA from 1 species